rnacentral:rRNA from 1 species
AAACCAGCACCUCAAGUGGUCAGGAGGAUUAUUGGGCCUAAAGCAUCCGUAGCCGGCUCUGUAAGUUUUCGGUUAAAUCUGUACGCUCAACGUACAGGCUGCUGGGAAUACUGCAGAGCUAGGGAGUGGGAGAGGUAGACGGUACUCGGGAGGAAGUGGUAAAAUGCUUUGAUCUCUCGAUGACCACCUGUGGCGAAGGCGGUCUACCAGAACACGUUCGACGGUGAGGGAUGAAAGCUGGGGGAGCAAACCGGAUUAGAAACCCCAGUAGUCC